UACUGCGACCGGCGGUUAGCGAACAAUCGCAGUCUGCAGAGGCACAUAAAACUUGUGCACAAAAUCACUCACCCGAAGUACAACUGCGACGAGUGUGAAGUAGCCCUGACUUUGAAAGAACUGGAGUACCGCCAUAUCAGCGUGCAUUUCUUCGAGCCGGAAUAUGAGAGGUAUCACUUUCUGACAAUGCCAGCUUUCAAGUCAUAGAAGGAAAAGGUGGAGAAAGACACACGCAGUCACUUCAUUGCAAGGACAGGUACAGAGACUUGCGGCCACCUGAAAAAGAAGCAUUUCUACUUCGUCUGUCACCGGUCUGGAAGUUAUGCUUCACAAGCUACAAGUAAACAAAAGCUGAAGCGGCCUUCAAGUGUCAAGUGUGGAAAAAGAUGUUUUGCGGCAAUGGCUGUGACUGAAGACAACACAGGUGUGUAUGUGGUUUUCCAAUUCAAGCACAGAGGCCACGACUUUGAACUGGGUCGUGUUUUUCUGUCCAAGUCGGAAAGAGCUGCUAUUGCUGACAAGCUGCGAGAAGGUGUGUGCAUGGAUGCAGUACUGGAUAAUGUGCGGUCCAACGUGGAUGAGACAUUCCACCGCAUUAACCUGUUAAGCAAGCAGGAUCUCCGCAAAAUAAUGAGGGAUGCCAGAGUCUCGAAGACCGAGCGGCUGCACGAUAAUGACUAUGUGAGCGUGCAACUCUGGGUUGAGAGGAUGCAUAGUGAAAAGGAAAACCCAUUGCUCUUCUUUAAACACCAAGGACAACCUGACAAAAAGUGACAUUUUUUAGAGAAAAAAAUGAGGACGUUUUGGAUGACAAAGAUUUUAUGCUAGUCAUCAUGACCACACCACAACAGGAGCUUUUCAAGAGGCUUGGAACUGAUCGUAUAUGUGUCGAUGGAACACAUGGAACAGCAGCGGCCCUUAGGGAGUCUGAAAAAUCGGACUGUACAACUGACCAAAAGGAUGCUUCAUCCAUGGGGCGAACACGCAGCGUAACAAGGACAAGAAUAGGAAGGACCAUUGCAUUGAGGAAUGAUCAGGAAAGGAACUGUGCCGCCGCCUCUUUGAAGGAGCUUGCGCUCAAAAAGCAAAGUGUUGGCUGAUGCUAAGAUGCAGGUUACCCACAUCCAAACCAAAAUAAACCCCUUAAAGCAGUGAAAUGCAACACUGAGGCAUUAUGCGCAGGCUGAGAGUAUGUCAGAACAGUUGAGGUUGACUUUCCAGUUGCUUGGAGAAUCUCAUAUGUGACAAAGUUCGGGCAUGAUACCAAUGAGCUUGCUAUCAGUUGAUACAAAUAGC